GAUGAACGCUGGCGGCGUGCCUAAUACAUGCAAGUCGAGCGAAUGGAUUAAGAGCUUGCUCUUAUGAAGUCAGCGGCGGACGGGUGAGUAACACGUGGGUAACCUGCCCAUAAGACUGGGAUAACUCCGGGAAACCGGGGCUAAUACCGGAUAACAUUUUGAACCGCAUGGGUCGAAAUUGAAAGGCGGCUUCGGCUGGCACUUAUGGAUGGACCCGCGUAGCAUUAGCUAGUUGGUGAGGUAACGGCUCACCAAGGCAACGAUGAGUAGCCGACCUGAGAGGGUGAUCGGCCACACUGGGACUGAGACACGGCCCAGACCGCUACGGGAGGCAGCAGUAGGGAAUCUUCCGCAAUGGACGAAAGUCCGACGGAGCAACGCCGCGUGAGUGAUGAAGGCUUUCGGGUCGUAAAACUCUGUUGUUAGGGAAGAACAAGUGCUAGUUGAAUAAGCUGGCACCUUGACGGUACCUAACCAGAAAGCCACGGCUAACUACGUGCCAGCCGCCGCGGUAA
rnacentral:rRNA from 1 species